rnacentral:lncRNA from 1 species
AGUUCAAUUUUGAUACAAAGCAUGUUGGUUGCAUAUUAUCUUUCAUUUAGCGAUAAAGAACAUUCUUGUGAAAUAUUUGAAUAUUUUGCUGAAAUUCAUAGCUGAUACUUCUGGUAGACAACACAGCAGCAAACGUGUAAUAACAAUUAUAGCUUGUUUGUUUAGUAAAUCUAUCACAUUCUUCCACCAUCUUCAUUUGAGUAUUUAUUAUUGCUGACAUUGUUCCAUUCACAAAUAUCUUGGUUCAACAAUAAAUAUUCCAUUCAACAUCUUAUCUUUCUUUUGAAUCCCAAUAUCAUGCUUUAUUUUAAACUCUAGCUGUAAUGACUAAAUGAAUAAAAAAAUUGAUAGCUUUAUAUAAUUCAGUAUUUUCAUUUAUUUGGGUGCUCUCUAGAUUGUUUAAUACCGUAUAAAUUUCCAUGCUUUACUUGCGUUUAUAUUCAUCCUUGAUUUAGGUACCUAAGACUCAGCUUUACUAUUCAUUAGCAUCUAUCGUUUGAUGUCAUCAGUUUAAAGGCUUUCAGUUUGUUUGUGUGGUUAUUGUUGAUUUCUCCUAGUGCCACCAUGGGAGUAAACCACUGGUCUUAAUUAUUGAUGCUUUUGGGGCUUGUCACCCCGUAUGCAGACAUAUCAAUGUGUUGAUGUACAUGUGGCUUUUCUGUACUCUUGUCUCAUCAGUUGGUUUGUUCCCCUCUGAUGGUGUAGUCAAAGUUGCAUGUAUUGUUUCUUAUCAUGCUUGGAUGUCUUCAUUAGGGGCUUUACUACACUAUGCAGUGUUGGUUCUUUGUUAUCUAAGACAGUGGAAAAAAGGUGUCUUGAAUAGGUCUGUAUUGGUGCCAAGACUAGGUAGCUCUUUGACUCUUAAUUCUUGUGUAUUGGGAAUCAAACGGGUAUUGCUGGGUAACACAUGCACACACAUGCACACAUUAUUUUAGUUUUUGCAUUUGUUGUUCUCUUCAGGUUGGACUAGCAUAGCUUUAGCAUAGCGGAACAUCAGCACUUUAUGAAUAUGCCUGAUGGCCUGAAGUGCAUUUUGAUCUGCAUCUCUUCCUUUGUUGCCCUGUGAUGUUUGCUUAGUUACUUUUUGUUAAUGUUGCUAGCAUCAUUACCAGUUGCAAGGUGUCAAAUGGUUUGGGAUCAUAAACUUCAUGAAGCACAAAGUUUGCACAUUUUUUUAUAUUGCUUUACAAGGCUAAUGACUUAUAUUUGCACAAAGUAAUUUUGUGCCUCUAAUCAAUCCUGUAAGUUCAAAAUUUCUUUUUUUAACUUAUGACUGAUUAUAACUUUUGGUCAUGAUAUUUCCCCAUGUACACAUGCAUUUGCACAUCAAUAUUUGCUAUAUGUGUAUACAGACCCGCAGGCAG